CCAAUAAAAAAUGCAACAGCCAACAUCAACAACAACAACACAUUAACAAUAGUACUACUAACAACAAUAACAACAAUAACAUACAAAAUUUCAACUUAAACAACAACAACAAUUCGAUCAGUACUACAAACAACAACAAUUUAAAUACUAAAACACAAUACUACUACUAUACAAACAACAACAAUAACAACAGCUAUUACAACUACAACAAAAGUAAAAGCAUAUUUUUCCAUAAUGUGAAACGUAGAACAUUUCAUGAGCUCCAUCAUCGACCAAUUUUAAUUCAAUUCAUCACAUUAAUUUUAUGGAUAUUCACAAAAAUUCGUGCAAUGCUCUAUAAUACCAUACCAAGGCGGUUGCAAUAAAGUUUAAAAAAAAAAAAAAAUAUUACAAAAUAAAUAACAUCUUCAAAAAAAUAUAAUUUAAAAUAAUAAAAUACAAAAUAUUGGACAGCAAAAUAUCUUUAAAAAUAAUGUCCCUAUACUAUAUUAUUGUAAAAUUGGAUAUGAAAUUCUAUAAAAUUUGGAACAUCCUAUUGAAUUAGAAAUAAAAACAAAAAAUAAAAAAAAAAUACUAUCCAAAAAAAAACAUUUUACACAAAAAACAUGUUUUCUUAUUUCUAUUUUGAAUUAAACAGCAAUUUUAUUGUUGUUCUUCAACAACAUUUGUUGUUGUUCUUUUCCUACAACUUCUUUGUAUAAUUUUGAAUUUUUGAUUUAUUUUUUGUUUUAAUUUAAUUUUUUGUUUUAACCAACCCAAAAGCUAAAAAAAAAUGAAGUAGAUGUUUUAUAUGAAAUCAAGAAAACUCUACAAAACACUUUCAUGGUUUCCUUUUCUUAUUUAAUUUGUAUUUAGUUUUAAAGUAGACUGCUACUUUUAGACAAAAAAAAAAAAAUAUAAUAAAAAAAAAAAUACAAACAAACAAAACAACUCAACCAAAACGCACUCUUUAUACCACCCUGUUAACCUCUAUAUAAGAAUUUUUACAAGAAAGACAACUUUUUUCCAAAAAAAAAAAAAACUAAACAAUGAAUAAAAAGAGCACACAAAAAAAAAACCGAAAAAAAAAAAUUAUUGAAAAUCUCAGUUGGCAACCAUUAUUUUCCUGAAGAGAAGAAAAAAUGAAGAAAGACAAACAAAAACGCUCUCCUAACAAGAUACAAUGAUUUUUUAGCAAAUUUUUGAUAAGAAAAUAAAAAAAAAAACAACUACUUAGAUAAAUAUUUAAAUAAAAAGAAAAAAAACAAAAAAAAAUAUAACAAAAUAUUUAUACAAAAAUAAACGCUAUUUCACCAACACCGCCUUUUUAUAAAAAUGAAAAAAGUGUGUCCUUCUUAUAGAUGAUUUUUUAUUAAUUAAUUUUUUAUUUAAAUUUUUUAUUUGUAAUUUUAACUUUUUCUUUAAAAACUUCCCACUUAAAAUAAAAAGCGUUCAAAGCUUAGAUGCGCAACAACAAUUUCACCCUUAACAAAAGAAAAACAAAAAAAAAAAAAACAUUAAAUCCCCAAAGUAACUUUGCUAAUUAGAAGAAAACCCUUUAGUUUUUGCUUGAAAUAUAAAAUUAGAUGAAAUAAAAACCAAAAGUAGAAUGAAAAAAAAAAUAAUUAAAUUAUUUUAAAGAAAAAUAAAAACAACUUGCGUAGAUUUUGAGCAUUAAAAACAUAAAAUAAAAAUCAUUUAAAGCAAAAAAAAAACAAAAUAUUACUACCAGCAAAGUUAAAAAAAAUGGUAUUUAUACAACUUUUUUUCCAGGUAGUGGGAAAUAUAUUAUACAAAAAAAACUAUAUAGCAAAGCAAAAAAAAAAAAAUUAUAUAACAAAUAUAACCUUAAGUUUAAAUAUUUUUUAUUUUGAAAUUUUGUAUUUUUUUUUAUUAUUAUUGAAUUUUAUUUAAGAAAAAAAAGACAACAUGCCCAAAAAUGAGGUUAAGUCAUCAGUCAUUCAUCGUUGAAAAAAUCAAUAUAAAUGAAAUCAUUGAAAAAAACAAAAAAAUAUUUUUUUUGUUAAGAAAAAAAUUUAAAUUUAAGUUUAAAAAAAAAUAACAACAACUAAAAUAUAUACAAAAACAAAAUUAGAAGAGUCGAAAUGUAGAGGUUAAAACUCAGAUAUAAUUUAAAUGGAAAACAUAAACUUAUGUAAGAGUAGCAGUUUGAAAAGAAAAAUACAAAAAAAAAAAAAACAAUUAAUUAAUUAUGAAAAAGGAACAUAAUUAUAUUAAGUACAGUUACAAUAUUACUUUCAAUUUUUAAAUAUUAAAUAACAAAAAAAAAAAAAAAACGGAAAAAGAAAAAAAUAUACAAACCAUAUAAGAAAAAUUACAACUUUCAAAGUAAAUAAAAACAAAAUAAAGAAAAUUUACCUGAAGACGAAUUAAGUACCAAAUACAAAAUGAUGAUGAAAUCAAGGCCUAAACAUCAGAUGGAACAACGAAAAAUGUCCUUGUAGAUGAUAAUGAGAUUGCUGGCAGAACUUUAAAACUAAGAAGAACUACACAAAUUAAAAUGCAACUUUUGUGAAAUUUGUACCAAAAUGUAGAAGUUGACCGCAUAUCAGCUUCUUCCAAUGGUUCAAGCUAGCAAAGUACUUAAAAUAAGAUGUGUACUAAAUUUUAGAAGCGGAGUACCAAAACCAAAUUUUGUACAAAGUUUCUGAAGCCGAUGUCACAUCAUUUACUUAAAAAAAAUGACAAAGGAUUUAUAAAUGAAAUUUGGUACAAAAAAUGUCAAGACCUAAUGGCACCACAUCGACACAAACAAAAUUAUAAAUUUGUUCCAAGCCGAUGCUGUACUAAAAUUUGGCAUUUGGUUCCAAAACCAACAUAAAAUAAUGUUCCAAAAUGAUCUAGUAAAGUAACAAAUAGUUCGAAUUUAGCUAUUGGUAGAAUUUGCCUCAAUAAGCUUCUAUCACAAAAAAAAAAAAAAAAAAACAAUCAAAAUUUGGAAAGCGGUACCAAAAAGUCAUACAACGUCCAAUGUUCUAAUGUUAUUUAAAAAAAUAUAUCCAAGUUUGGACAUGCGUACCAAAAUCUUCAAUCAAUGUGCUGCGUACUUCAAAGAAAUUUAAGUACGAAAACAAUUCUUUUGAAGAUAUUCAAUAAAUUUUGAACAAAACGAAAAUAAUUCGGACUUAAGUGCUGAUAAUCAUUUUACAUUGUACAAACUUACCACAAGAAAUACAAUGGAAUUUAAAGAUUUUCAAGAAUUUUAGUACACCUACUUGUUGGUGAUUUGGUACUAAAUCAAAUUUGUCAAAAAUCUCUAAAAAUAUGGAAUGUUGCCAGAAGUCAAAAGGAUUCCAGAGAUCUAAGAUCAUCAUUGGAAACAAAUGAUAAUUUAAUAUGAAGUUUACCUGUGGGUUAAACUUCAUCAAAUUUGCUUAAUAACGCAUCGUUGGAAAUGUCUCCCUUAAGAAAUUUGGUACCAUCCAAAAAUAGGUCAACCAUAAAUUGUAUUCUGUCAAAUUUAUUACAAUACCUAAAACCAAAGUAUUUUAUUUUAUGUUGGAAAUAGUUAAAAAAUUUUGUCGAAUUUAUGUAUGAUCCAAAUAAAAAAAAAAAAACUGUUAAUUAGCCCAAAAAGAGAUUAUCGGCGGCAGAUUCUAAUUACCUCAUAGAACAUUCGGGUCUAAUGAGUGAUGAAGGCGUCAAAAUUUCUAUUUAACUUGUGCUUUUUGAUCAGAAAUGGUAUCAUCGUAGCAGUGAUCUGGAAAUCUUCUCGGUGGAUUUAAAACGCUGGAAAAAAAUUGAUAUGCAUCAUGGAAAUUUGGUACACGACAAAAACAAAACAAACUAGACGAAAAACAAUGGACGAACAAAUAUGAAAAUUAUUACUCUCUCUUACUUUUACGGAUGCGUCUUCAGUCCAUUACUCAAAUAUAAACAAAAAAAAAAAAAACAAAUCUUAAAUGGGUUGGAUAUAAGUUAUGAAAUAUUAAAAAAAAAUAUAAAUUCUCGAUAAUUCUCAAAAAAAAAAAAAAAAAAAUAAAACAGAAAAUUAAAAAUAAACAAAUUCAUUAUUAUACUCUCUUGAAAUAAUUAUAUAUUUAACUUGAUUUUAUUGAGUGGUAUAAAAAUUUAGUAAAGAAAAUUAUAAGAAAACAAAAAAAAAAAAAAAACAAUACAAAUUAUAUGCCAAGUAGAAAAUUAAAGAAAUUAGAAAAAAAAAAUAAUAAUAACAAAUUGUAGUUGUUUAAGUCUCUCAAAACUAUAUAACAAAAGAAAAAAAAAAAAAAACAAAAAUAUUCAAUAUAACAAAACAUCAAUGCACUUUCCGCAUCGAUGUUGUUUCGUUAAUUUUUCAAAACAAAAUAUAAACAAAAAAAAAUCUUACCUUCUAUCCAAAACAAAAAAAAAUCUAGGUUAAGAUACUUCAAGGUAUCAGGAGAUAAGAUUAUAAAAUUAUAAAACAAAAAAUCAAUUCAUUAUAUUCAAAAAAAUAUAUUUAACCAAUAUUUAUCUUAUUCAAAUUAAACAAAGUUAUAAACAUUACAAAAAAAAAUUAUUAAAUAUUUAAACUAAACAAACACCAGAAAUUCAGAAAAAAGAGUAAUUACUAAAGAAGGAAUCGUAGUUUAGCUAAAAUUAAAUGUUUUUUCUUGUUAAAUAUAUCAAAUAUUUAUUAUAUAUAAAAAAUAUAUAAAACAAUUAAUUAUAUAUGAAAAAAAAAAAAAACGGUCUUGUCUCACCGGUCAACAACGUCGUCAUUUGUUUUGAUUGCGUCAAAUCGACAUUCGAGCAUUUGGAUGCGUCUUCUAAACCAACAUCAAGCCUAUUCAAUUAAAAAAAAUAAAAAAAAACAAAAAACUUUCCCUCAAUCAAAAAAGGCCGGAAGAGUCUAAAUGCGUAGCUAAACAACAUCUCAACAACAAGCUGCCACAUAAUCUUGGUCUAAUG